rnacentral:rRNA from 1 species
GAUGAACGCUGGCGGCGUGCCUAAUACAUGCAAGUCGAGCGAACAGACGAGGAGCUUGCUCCUCUGACGUUAGCGGCGGACGGGUGAGUAACACGUGGAUAACCUACCUAUAAGACUGGGAUAACUUCGGGAAACCGGAGCUAAUACCGGAUAAUAUAUUGAACCGCAUGGUUCAAUAGUGAAAGACGGUUUUGCUGUCACUUAUAGAUGGAUCCGCGCCGCAUUAGCUAGUUGGUAAGGUAACGGCUUACCAAGGCAACGAUGCGUAGCCGACCUGAGAGGGUGAUCGGCCACACUAGAACUGAGACACGGUCCAGACUCCUACGGGAGGCAGCAGUAGGGAAUCGUCCGCAAUGGGCGAAAGCCUGACGGAGCAACGCCGCGUGAGUGAUGAAGGUCUUCGGAUCGUAAAACUCUGUUAUUAGGGAAGAACAAAUGUGUAAGUAACUAUGCACGUCUUGACGGUACCUAAUCAGAAAGCCACGGCUAACUACGUG